UACGUAGGGGGCAAGCGUUGUCCGGAUUUAUUGGGCGUAAAGAGCGUGUAGGCGGUCAGGUAGGUCCGUUGUGAAAACUCGAGGCUCAACCUCGAGACGCCGAUGGAAACCAUCUGACUAGAGUCCGGAAGAGGAGAGUGGAAUUCCUGGUGUAGCGGUGAAAUGCGCAGAUAUCAGGAAGAACACCCGUGGCUAAGGCGGCUCUCUAGUACGGUACUGACGCUGAGACGCGAAAGCUGGGGGAGCGAACAGG
rnacentral:rRNA from 1 species